rnacentral:lncRNA from 1 species
CUUUUUCUGGAGAAGGGCCCGUCGAGUGAGAUAAUGAACGAUGCCCCGAUAAUCCUGCAGCUAUGGGGAACAGGGGUUAUCCAUUUCAUAGCGUAGGCGAGGGUGGGUGAACGAAGUGAAUUGUUACGCUCUAACAGUGAGAGACGGGAGCUCGAGCUUAGAGAUUAGCCUCAGGCCGGACAGAGGUCAGGGGAGGAGCACAGACAGAUGGCUUCUUAAGAUUUCACUUCUAGUAACCCCCGGAUGUAGUUAGAAGAGCCGGAUAGAGGUCAGGGGAGGAGCACAGACAGAUGGCUUCUUAAGAUUUCACUUCUAGUAACCCCUGGAUGUAGUUAGAAGGCGAACGGGGUCACCAAAGCCAUGAUAAGGAAGGCUGAAAUCCGAAUCAUGCAUCGCAUCUAGAGCACGCUGGUUCGAGUCUAGCUCGUGACAAGACCUUUGGUCAUUGAAUCUCUCGGUGCCUCUUCUCCUUAGACGGAGGAUGACUCUCCCAUGAUCAGAGACAGCCUGUUUUUCCUAGUUAGGACAUUCGGAUAGAUUUACCCCUAAAGGAGAUCCCAUCUCUCUUAUUCUUUCUCGAGUUACAGGGAAAGAUCACGGCUGCAUUUAGGAGUGAAAGCGAGGGAGUGAGAUUUUAGGUUUCAUUAGGGUAGACUGAAGACCAAGCCAAUCUCGAUUAAAAAAUAAAAACUUAUUGCAACUACGAACGUGAACAGAUGCUUUCUCAUUAGACUAUUUUAACCGAUUGUUUAUGUCGACCCUAUGCUACGACUCUUCUUCUCUUUUGAAAUUUCUAGUUAGAUGAACACUGCUCUGCUGCAUGACGGAGUGAUCUUUCCCUCUUAUGAAAGCCGGUAUCUCACUUUCGAAAGUGAGUCUCGACGUGGCGGUGUAGACCUAGCUCCAUAGCUGGGCUAGUCAUUGGCUAGAGGGCGACUGACCUACCAUACUGGAGGCUGCCGAGAAUGUUAUGUAAAAAGGAGCAAGGAGGAUCCUAUCCUAAAGGAGAAGGAGGAGGAGUAGGAGCUAGCUUUUGGGGCGGAAUCGAAUGAUUACGAGAUAAAUAAUGAGAUAAAUGAGAGCACUUAGACAAUUCACUUUGAGUACAGGGAAGUCUGCUGGUAGGAAUUCUUCAGGGCGUAUUAUGGUUUUUCACCGAGGGGGUGGAUCGAAGCGAUUGCAGCGAAGAAUUGAUCUGAAACGAAGCACUUCGUCUAUAGGCAUUGUAGAAAGGAUAGAAUAUGAGCCUAAUCGUUCUUCUCGAAUCGAAGCGAUUGCAGCGAAGAAUUGAUCUGAAACGAAGCACUUCGGCUAUAGGCAUUGUAGAAAGGAUAGAAUAUAAGCCUAAUCGUUCUUCUCGAAUCACUCCAGUACGAUGGACCGGGGGGUCCGCCAGAGAAAAUGCAAGACGAUAGAAGAGUUCGCUCCGCCGCGUAAGAUCCUCGUCGCUCCAGUACAAUGGACCGAGGGGGUCCGCCAGAGAACAUGCAAGACGAUAGAAGAGUUCGCUUCGCCACGUAUGAUCCUCGAAUCAACCACGACUACCAUAUGCGGUCCAUUUUCGUUCUCUUCCCUGCCCAGGAAGGGGGAUCAAAGAAAGGUAGCUUGCUUCUCUCCUGGACGGAUGGCGACUUAUGUAGUGGUCGGCCUUCCUACUAGAAUGCCUUCUUGGUCGAAGAGCCCUUUUUACUAGUAAGGACGCAAGAAGCAAAAAAACUUGCGCAAAGGACGUUUUCUUCUCUAUCCUCUCCUCUCCAAAGGCCAAGGGAGAGACUGCAUCCCUUUCCUUCGGUAGCUCUUUUGGUUUCCCAAGGAUAGCGGUAGCUUGGGCAAAGCUUUCUUCGCUCCGCGAAUGAGAGAGAAAGAGGAAAAAACACGUUCUCUCUUUGCGAGAUCCGAAAGUGGAGAACGCAUAGCAUUCUAUGGGUACAUAGGAUCAAACGUAAAGCAGCGCUCUCUUGGCAGAGUUUUAGGCGGCAAGAGACUUUAGGGCUUGUUGGAGCUUCUGAGCGUAACGAAUCGAAGCCGAAGACGGAUCAAGGUAGCUUGCCUGCCAAGCCGAUAGGCGAAGGGCUGAAGGAUGGAACGUGCAAAGUAGAUCGUGCACCUGUCGUGUGACCCGUUGGUCCUAAGCAAUGUCUUGCGCGAAGCGACCCACUUAGAAAAAGCUCCCCUUUAUGUUAGGGGAGCACUAAAAUGCAACUUCGAUCGGAUGCGGGUAUCAAAUCCCGCCGCUGAGAUGUCCAGCGGAUUCCUGGGCCUUGACGAAUGGCCGGCCACCUUUUACGUUAUAAGAGCAAAAGGCCCAGGGCAUAGCAGGAUGAACCAAUGUGAAUGAGUGUAAGCUUCGUUGCCCGAACACGAUUGGUGCUGACCACACUAGGUGCUACCGUGGUAGCAAGAGAGGUCAGGCGGUGACAAUUGAGAGGUUGUCACUGAGCAUUCCUAGUCACACGGGAAAAGAGGUCAAAUGGCAAGGCCAUACGCCCGUUUGGCUCCUCGCGGAGUAUAGCUCACAUCCAAACAUCUGAUUGGGGAACGGGGCAACGCCCAUGAGGCUCCGGCAGAAAGGGAAGGCCUGCCAGGCCGUAUGCCCAUGGGUGCAUGAUUUUUCGAAAAAGCGCGGGCUGAAUCGGAGACCUGGGACCUUGGCUUAGUAAUGAAUGAAGGGAAGCUCUUCGAGCUUUCUCCGCCAGCGGCUUAUGUAGUGGUCGGCCUUAUAAAGCUCGCUAAGCCUCGCUUCCCUCUCCCCUUCACUUAUUAAUUAAGUGGAAAAUAGUCGUCGGCAUUCUAUAAGCGACUUGACCGAGUCUACGAAGCUUUGCUUUUCUUGUAGUCGGCCCGUAAUGCCUCCCUUCAUUUGCUUGCCUCCUUUCAGCUCAGAAUGCCUAAUGCCUAUUAUUUAAGAAGCUAACCGCCAUAAGCUCACCCUUCGGGUCUCGCUUCCAGCGCAGGAGGCCAAGCAUUCUGCCAGACGUCCCGGCCUGGGACCAUUAGCUCACCCUUCGGGUCUCACUUCCAAUGCAGGAGGCCAAGCAUUCUGCCAGACGUCCGGCCUGGGAUCCCCGUUCGCCCUUGGUACUUCAGUAGAUCUUCUAAAUAAAAAGCGCUACUUCAGCCUUAACUACAACUACAUUACGCAAGCCCCGCCGGUACCUACCUAUAGAGUCAAAUUAAAAUAAAAAAGUACCAGUGACGGGGACUUUCUAGGUUUAUGGAUUCAGUCAGCUAUACUCCAUCAAACUCAUCAAUCAAUAUCAACAAGAUGUCGUGACCGCUUAGGCUUGGUUUACUUUGGUUUGAAUGUAAACUAAAAUAAGCGGCGUUUAAACAAAGGGAACCGAAGGUUUCCUUGUUUAGUAGUAUGAAAGUAGUUCUACUAUUACGAUGUUUAAUAUUAAUAAGAAAUAUUCAGUGUUGUAGCUGUAGAACAGAAUGCCGUUCGCCUUUACUUUGACUUUCUGAGAAGGACUUAAGUAGCUAAGUUUCCAAAGGUGAACACCCCCCUGUCCUUUAUAGUAUAGUCGUAAAGGGCUUCUCAGAAAAGUCAGGAAGAAGGCAUUCGAAAGGCCGACCACUAUCUCAUAGGCAUUCUGGUGGUAAAACCGACGACUACACGGCUCUAUACCAAGUCAUGAGCGAUAGCGAAGCCAAGCCGCCGUCUAUAGGCGAAGGGACGAAAGCCCGACGAAGGCCUAUGCUACAGUAAGAAAAAAAGUACGUUGAGGUUACGAAGUCACUUAGCCGUAUACUAUACAAAGGGAAAGGCGUCGGUAUAAGUAGCUAAGUUUCCGAAGGUGAACACCCCCUGUCCUUUAUAGCAUAGUCGUAAAGGGCUUCUCAGAAAAGUCAGGAAGAAGGCAUUCGAAAGGCCGACCACUAUCUCAUAGGCAUUCUGGUGGUUAAACCAACGACUACACGGCUCUAUGCCAAGUCAUGAGCGAUAGCGAAGCCAAGCCGUCGUCAAUAGGCGAAGGGACGAAAGCCCGACGAAGGCCUAUGCUACAGUAAGAAAAAAAGUACGUUGAGGUUACGAAGUCACUUAGCCGUAUACUAUACAAAGGGAAAGGCGUCGGUACAGAGUCACGUCAGCUAUUGAUAUAGACUAGGCUAUUAGGAACGGAGUCAACAACUAUGAACCGAGACUACACUAAGGAAAAGGAAGCUUGACUGAGAAAAGAAGUCAAGGAACGAAGCUGCUCCCCUAAUUAGCCCCGUUGAAUGGGCGAAGGCUUUUUGAAAAAUUUGUUUUUGUCUUGUAAAUGCAUUUUUUUUCUAUUUAGAGAGAGGGGGCUUCAAGUUCUUAGGAAGAGCCGUACGAGACAGCUCACGUACGGUUCGGGAGCCGAGCCCCCGCGCAGGGGCUUAGGUCAACACUUAUAUAAUAGCCAGUCAUCAAUUGGAAGCGGGCAAGAUGGUGAUGAAUUGCGAUUGGUCUAAACCUUCGACUAGCGACUUAUUGCGACCUGCCCAGAAUGCCCAUACAGACUAAGACCUUAUUCACACAGCGAAGAAAGGCCGAGUGUAUACUUAUAUAAUAGCCAGCCAUCAAUUGGAAGCGGGCAAGAUGGUGAUGAAUUGUGAUUGGUCUAAACCUUCGACUAGCGACUUAUUGCGACCUGCCCAGAAUGCCCAUACAGACUAAGACCUUAUUCACACAGCGAAGAAAGGCCGAGUGGAAGGGGGCAGGCAGCUGGCUGCUUCUUUGCCAUGCGCUUUGCUUCGCUUUAUUUUAUAGAAGAAAGAGACCAAAUGAGAGUGAAAGGCAAGGGCAAGCGAUAGAAAGGAGAGUCCCUCGCGCGAACUACUACUACUAGAAAAUGGUGAGACCAUUAGUGAAAGAAGGACCAAGGAGGAUCCUAUCCUAAAAGAGAAGGAGGAGUAUGAGGGGUCAGUUUUCUUUGAAGAUCGAGGAACGUAGUG